CCUCUUUAACCACUUUGUAAAAGUAAGGAGGAAAGCCGGGCGGAACCGAGCCCUGCAAACACGGGGGAUCCCUUCCCCCUUACAUCCCACCUCUAGCGUGACGGCGGUGGCGAGAUGAGGACGGGGCAUGCGCACCGUGGUGUGUAUGGGGGAAAGGUCCCGCACACGGGACCGCGGCUCCAGCUGGAUGGGCGCCACGCAAACGCCUCCCAGAGCCUGCCUGCGUGUCUGUGGGAAAUGAACCGGAGUCACCAGAGAUUGAAUUAUGCCAGUGCCUGAGAACGGAUUCUGGAUCUGCCACACUUUCUUUACUGGAAGAGUACCUCAAUAUGUGAACAUGCGCGCAGGCUUCACUAUUCCUUGGACAGAAGUUUUAGCCCAGAUAAGGGCUGUUGUAGGAGGCAUGACAAGAAUGUCGACCAUCUGCUCUCCUUGAUCAAGUGCCUUUCAGCAGAUUUUUCCUGAAGGAAUGCUGGGUAGCCAGCCCUUUGUGUGCCUGACAGCUGUCUGUUACAAGCAAGAAUACAUCUGAUGCGGUAGAGGGAUAUAUUGGCCUUCUCUGCUUCCUAAACAGAAGAGAAUUUGCCAUUUCUAACUGGUGCCAGCACAGAAGCAAAGGUGCAUCUGGUUGUCUAUCUAUCUGAUGAAGAUUGGUUUUGAAAUGUAUCCCAUCUCUGACUGGAGGGAACGUGGCCAGGACAAGAGGCUUCCAGGGUUAAUAGCAGAUAAAUGUCUAUCUGAGAAGGGAGUUGUGCACUUGAACUCCACUUGCAGAGAACGACUGGUGAAAUGUGUGCUAGAAGCAACCGGAUCCAUAACUCUGAUUAAAGAGGUUCUACAAAAGUAACUGUUCUACUGAUUAACGAGUUGAGGCUCUACCAUAACCGUUCUAACUAAGAUGUGCACAGGGAAUUUUCUCAGGCGCGCAAGAAUGACACAAAGCGAAGCUGAUUUCCCCGAACAGAUAGAAGAGCAACGUGAUGAAGCCGAAGUGGUGGCGUGGGAGAUUGCGCUCCUGCCACAGCGGAAGAAAGCCCGACUUGAAAGGGAAGCACCGGCAUUUGCCGCCCGAGAUGAAAGCUGCUGGGGGACCUGUUUAAGGAGACUUAUGAAUUGUUCAGGUAUUGUAAGUGCCAGCCAAUGCAGAUUUUAGCUGCGCUUCCUUGCCCUGCAACCCUCCUACUGCUUCAAAGUAAAUAGCUUUGUCCUGCCUGUCACCAUUUGAUCAAUGUCUUUACGAUGCCACAAGAAGCUUCACGGAGACAGCAAGCGAAAAAAGAUGGAGAUGAUUAACACGUGUAUAAAAGCAGUGCAGGCUGCAGCGGGAAAAGGAUUAUGUUAAUGCUGGCAAUGUCUGUAUAGCGCAGGGAUGACAUGAUCCUCCAUGAGUGAACACAACCGGUAGCAAAGAUGCGUUCUUGGCAGCCUGGCUGAAGAUAUUGCUGCACAUCUUUCAGAAAAGCAAUCACAUUCCCUCAGUCCAGACUGGUUUAGAACGCCUUCAUAACUGGAUUUGUCAGAGAGCACCAGGCAGAAUAAAACCUCCCAGAAACAUGCCAUCACCUGUCCCAGCAGCUUCGGGAACACUGCGAUCGCCAGCUGCAUCCAUCUGCCCUGACAAGGGAGGAAUCCAGCUCGGUGCACUGAGUGUACUUGCUUCUUGGCAAAAUGUGUAGUGUGUGUGUUUUUUUCUUUUUCUUGUGCCCAAAGAUCAGCCAGACAAUUUAGAGGUCAGCAGUGAAUAUGAGGUGAUUUAAAAAUGAUUAACAGCACUUUCAACUGUAAUUUCAAGAUCGGGAAACUGCUUGGCACAGGGAGCAAUUUUAUUGGCUGUUAAAGCAUUUUUAAGAUGUAGAAUAAUAUAUAAGGCUUGCUUUGCUGCAUAGUACCUUUAAUGGUCAGCUUUCUUUUAAUCAGAUUCUGCAAUAUUCAUUUUCUCAAGAAUAGCACUACUUAAUUAUAAGAACUUUAAUAAACCAAUUCUGUUGGUUGUAGAUGUCUUGGGAUAAUCAAAUUCUCAGGGGUAGAGAGGCAUUUUGCUUCUGCCUCAUAAUUGGCCAGGAUUGUGAUUAUUUUAUGAUAAAACUGCACCUCCUGCUAGGUCAUGCUGCUUAAUUAAUGCACUCUUUUUCAAAGAACUUACCAGCCCAUGAGAAAUGGGGCGAUAGCCAAAUCUUAGACUUGCCCUACUGGAAUUAUUUAACAUGUAGGAAAGUGUUUGUUUCCAUCCUGGAAGUAAAAAGGUUUUGUUUUUUGGCGCACUGAGGAAAGUCAAUUUUCUGCUCUUCCUUAUUUCUCUUUUGCUGAGCAGUUUCAGACCAUUGCUUACUGGAGUGUAGCAUGCAACAUUUUGAUUUAACUAUAUCUAACACCUACCAGGGUAGUGUGAGAGAGUGAAAACCUCAAUGCAUAACCCAGUUAUAGAAGAGAACACAUACAUGUCAAAGUUUGUUUAGUUUUAGCCUUCAGGAACUAACUCUAGGAAGGAAUGAGAGAGUAUCACAGUUGAGUUUCUGUGGCAAGUUGGACUUUGCCUCCCUUGCUGAGGCUGCCAACAGCAGUGUUGAGAGGAUACUGCUGCUGCCCGUGCGUCUGCUAGUACUUGCACGGGCACCCAUGACACUUUUCAUCCCACUGACCUGCCCUCAGUUUGGCCAGAUGACCUGGAGGGUGCAAGCUCCCCAGCCGCAUCACCAACCGCCUGAACUGUUAGGGGUAAAGCCUGUUGGCAAAGCCCGUCUUCACUCCUCCGCCCGCAAAGUGUCUAGUUUCUCAUUGAUUGCCUCUCAAUUCCUGAAGGAUUAAGCUGAUAAAGGGUCUGGCCGGGGGGUCCUGGGCUGCCUGUGAGCCUUUGGAGACUCUGCUCUUUCCUGGACUGGUGUCCUCUGCACCGUUCUUCAGUAGCCUCCGUGUUGGGGAAAGACAAAAAAUAACCCUGCGGUAAGUAAAUCUCCACAAUGCUCCACACUAGUGCAAUAGCGAUGAAUUUAUAGCUUUCACACUUCUAAAAAUGAAAUGUUUUGACCUGCUGUUAGAUUGGCUGAAGGCUUCUUCGAACAAGCUUCAAUUUAUAAGUAUUAUGUUGUGAGCGCGCUGAUACCAUCAGCGAUAGCGGCACCCAUUGAAACAAAAAUACCCUACAUCAAGCACGUUUUGAAAAUAAUGUUGCCACCUAAAAGCUUCUCUCCUGCAGAAAAUGGAUUGUACAGCAGCUUAUCAGUUGGAGAAGAGUGCACAGGAGAAAAAAAAAAGAGAAAUAAAAAUAAUAAAACCCACUCCUGUGUAGAACAUUAGAAAUGUGGCACUAACAAAGACUUCCCGUUCCACCUAGAAUUAGUGCUGGCAGAGGCACCUCGCAGGGCUGUGGGUGUACUCAGCUGUGCAGAGCUGAUUAUAGAAGAUGAAAGAGCCUGGCAAUUUAUUUCAUCUCACACUGAAGCACUGCUGACAACUGAAAGUGAGGACAGAAGGAUUCAUUUGUUCAACUUCUGUUUUAGAAAGCAGGCUUCAAAUGAUACCACAGAGAAAGUGGAGGGAAAUGCUGUGGUGUAAUAAAGUGCCUAUUUUUUAUUUCACUGACUCCAAGAUUUAUAUUUUUAGCUGUUGGGGUUUUUUUGUUUGGAUGGGAGGGAGAGCUGAUAUUUGAGAUGUCUGCAACACCAGGUUACUAGUGAAAAAAGUAGGUGGCGUUGGCCUAACUGAGUACAUGUAAUCAUAAGUUAUAUAUACAUACAAGUAUGCAAACAGGGAAGCUAUAAAUAGAUAUGUGUAUAAAUAUGUAUAUAACACCUUUCCUUCCAUUCUGUUGAACUACUGUGGCCUGAAGAGUUUCAUAAUCUAUUUCAGUGCUGAAAUGUUUAAACUGGAGUGUUUAAUUGUAGUAUUAAAAUUUACUCAGUGACCAUAAUAGUAUAUAAUUCUUGGCAAAUUGGAUGAUAUAUAUUUUACUCUUAAUGCUUUUCUCAUGCAAUAAAACCUCAGGGAUAGAUGGCUGGAGCCCUUAAGAAGGGGAUACGUGCAGGUGAACAGUGCAAGAAACAGGUAUGGUAUGAAACCAUCCUCUGGAGAAGUAAGUCAGACCUUGCUUUUCCUUCAUUGUCUCUGCAUGUGGCAGACUGAACGAGAACGAGUGGGCUUAAAUUGUGGGUGCAAAAAGUCACAUUAGGAAAGCUUUCAAAGGAUAAGGACGGUGAAACCUGGGAAAAGGGUGCCUGGGGAUGUCGUGGAGCCUUCCUCACUGGGAGUCUGUAAGACUGAUGUAGACUCACAUCUGUCAAGAUUGACAGUGGUAUGAUUGAUCCUGCCUUGGGGCAGGAAGAAAAACCAGAUGAUGUCUUGAGGUUCCCGAGAUUCUAUGUGUAUGUUGGUUAUUUUUAAGGACCUCAUCUUUAUUUUUAAAUCAUGGUUAACCAAGCAUGUUAUUUCCCUUUAGUGCUAAAACAUAGUUUACAAGUAAAAACAGCCUGACUCUAUCAGAAUCAGAACAAAGAUCUGCCGAAACGGUUAUUACAUUGAAAUCAGGUUAAAAUCUAGCUCUACAGUCUGAACAUAUUCUAAAUGUUAGCUGCAGUCAGUAGGAUUUGGGAUCUUAGAGGGCUGAAUAAAUUGCACACCUCAGACUUUGCGAUUCGAGACCUAGCAGAAAAGACAUCCAUCCUAAUAUUUUGUCAUAAUUAUAUGUUUGGUUCUAGGGUUAUAACAUAAUUACAGGCCAGAUUCCAUCCUUAGAACGCCAAAUUCCCAUUACUUUAUUUUUUUGCCUACAACGAAUAUUGGGUCAAAGGCAAUUGUUAUCCUAGACUAAACUAAAUUGUUAUCCUAGACUGUAAGCUAUAUGAGUAUAACUAGUAUUUUUUAAAUUUCUCAUCUAACAGAAAAAUAGUAAUAAAUAGCUUCAAACUGAGCCAAGCAAAAAAUUAUGACUUUUCUCAUGAAACGAGAAUUCAAUAAGACCAUUUUUAUUUGGAAAAAUUUUUUUUGCCGAAGGAGUUCAGAGGCUUUACAAAUUAAGUAUUGAAAAUAUCGUUUUACGGUUAUCAGAACGAAAAGUGUUGGUUCUUUCCAUUUUUUCAAAGGUUUUAUUAGCCAAAAUUAUAUGAACAGAACAAACCCCCGAAUUCUUCAGAUGGCCUUGUUCUUCAGUUUUUAAUUUUAGGUAAACGUUUUCACUCAGUUGGAUUAAGCAUGAGGUCUACCAGUACAUCCAACUUAACAGGAGUUAUGACAAAGUAGUGAAAUAUUUAUGAUAAAAGAGAAAUUAUGCUGAAUUGCAGCUUUUGUGCAAGUUUACAGGUAUAAUCUUAACCAUUAUUGCCUUUUGCUGUAAUGUAAAACUCUAAAAGUCUUUUCCCGAAUGUGUUCAAGAGGAAUAUAUUGUGUGCUGCCACAAUAUUGCCUUGCAGCAUCAUAAUGUGAAGAGAGUUCUUUUCAGUAGAACCCCUUUAUCACUAACUUUCCCCUUGCACGAUUGCCCUUACAUGCAUACUUUUUUCCCCAGAUUUUAUUGCACUAGUGUAUACCUGCAGCGAGGAAUAUUUUUGGAAUAUCUCCCCUCCCCCUCCAUAACAAAAAGUACGGUCGCUUAGUCACAAUUUUUCCAGGAACUGAAAUGUUGGCGCUUUCAAGGAUUAUACUUCUCAGUGCUGUGACCUACUAGGAAGAGAAAAUAUUGUACUAGUAUUUGUCACAGCAGGUUGCCAGGUAAACAGCCAUUUGUCAUUCAGUCAUAAAAGUGAGUGUCAUUUUCCAUAUAAAAAUCAGUUAAAUCUCAACAUGCCAAAUACUCUCAAUUGCUGCUUUCUGGACCUUCUGUAUAACGUGCAGUGGUAUAGUAGGAAAAAAACACAGAGAGAAAGAUGAUUAGGAAAGUGGUCACUAAUUAAUGAAAAAAAUUCCAGUUUGCCAAGCGAGGAACAUCAGACCAAGCUGCAACUUUCCAAACUGCAGUUUGGCUAAUGCAGAUGAUUAUCUACGUAAGACAUGCUGCUUGCAUGAAUUGUAACUCUUUCUCUUUGGCUAUUGUUAGGCCAUGUCCACCCAAACCUGAAUACUUUGUUCUGUUGCAACUCUCUUGUGAAAGCUAUGCCUAGACAAAUUAAAAAGCAAGGCAUAUUUCUCUUUUCUCUGCCUGCCUAUUAGAGAGGAAUUGGUUCAGCCUUAGCAAAAUGUGGAGGAGCGGAGAGUCGCGCAGCAGAAAGCGCAUCAGACCAUUCGGGAGCACAAGCUCUGCUGAUCCGUGCAAGUAAAGACCAGGGCGUCCUGGAGCAAAGCCCUGCCUAAUACCCGCUGUGCCUCCAGAUCACCUGAAUGUCCUCCAGUGCCACUUACUUUACUCCUCUUAUUUUCAUUAUUAUUCUCCAUAUAAACUGAGGAGCCUUUGAUAGUCCUGCAUCUCAGAGCACGGAUUUGGGGUGUAGCAGUAAGGCACUGUUCAGCUGCACUUGGUGGAGGUGUACUCUUUUUUGUAUCUGACAAGACUCUGGUGCAUACAUUUGAAUCCGCAUUUCAGCCUGUUUGUCCAUCCCUACUGGGCUUCUAAAGUAGUCAAUAAUUACCUCAAUGUCAUCAGAUCCAUACAAGGAGGAAUUUGCAUUAUGUGUAUUUGGUUGGUUACUCCUAGGUUAACCAUUUUCUGUUUUAAAUCAAUAUGAAAAGAAAAAGACUUGGAGACGAAGGAGCCUCGGUACAUGAUAUGGAUGUUAAGAGCACAGACUAUGAUACUGGAUGGCAGUAAGUACUAACUGCAGACAGCAUCCGUUUAUCUAACACGUUUUCUUUGUAUAUGGUGUAUCUAGACCACAUUUUGACACCAGGGAAGAAGACUGGUUUGCUACCGUUUGUCUUGUUAGCACUGUAUUGUAGAGUAUAUAUUACUACAGAAAAAUGACAAGGUGGUAUUCUGGCUAAGAGAAUAUCCAGUUUUUAAUGAAUGUUGUUUCGUAAAGAAAUGUGUUGAAAACAGGUUAUUUCAGAGGAUGUAUAACCGUUUUGUCAAGCAAUAGCGUGUUAGUGGUAAUUGUGUCCGAAGAACUAUACUAGAUGCUAACAAAAAUAGUUUCUCCAGAAUCCUUUCAGAUAUUUUUUUCUUAAAUUAGGAAACAAACAAUAUUUAACGUAUUUAAGUACUAUAUUAGUUCAACAGCUAUCGAGAUCAACUUUUCUCCUGUGGAAGCAUUAUGAUUUAGAACAAACUAUAACAUAGGUAGGUUCAAUCUCACACUGGGCAGAUAUUCUCCUUUCAAAAUAGUAGUAUCAGUGUCAACAUUAUGUGGUGCCUUCUGUGAUAGGGGAUGGUGUCUUUCAGCAGAAAAAUGUUUUACAAAUGGUCAUAUAGCUAUUCUCCCUCUAUGUAUAGGAGGCCGUAUCUACUUAAGUUAGAGCCAUGAUUUCAAAAUUAUGUUGGGAAUUUCUGUUGUGUGGAUGAUCAAAUCAAAGCAAGAGCCCUGUGAGACCUUCACCUACAGUAAGCCUUUGGGAAAUUUCUUGAAUCUUUAAUCUUAACCCGCAGCAACUAAUCCUCUCCUUGUGUGAAGGUGUGAGAGGGAAGGAGCAUGGACUUAGUGUCCUUGCCCUCACUGUUACUAUCCAGCCCUUACUAUCAUAUUCGAAAUUGCCUGGUGGCCUACACACUGAGUAGAGAAAACAUCAGUAGAUUUCAAAACUCACAAUUCAUAUUACUCAGCAUAAGGGAUCAUGCUUGCUUUUAUCUGUGAAUUAUGCAUUGCAGAUAAACUAUGGAGGAAAACUACACUGACAAGACAUUUCAUUAAUAUUAAGUAAGUGCUUUCAGAAAAAUAAGAAGAUAACCCAGUCAUGAUGAGUUGCAGAGAAGUGCUAUUUGAAAGGCUACCGCCCAUAAUCUUCUUGUUUGGAGGGGAGCAGGCACCUGUGCUGUCUAUGAAACCUUUUGGAGAAGUGGGUCCCGACGUGUCUUAUUCCGCGCAGAUGGGGAGUGCAUGCUGAGGAAUGGGCAGCGUUGUGCAAUAUGCCAGUUACAGUUUGAAAAUACCUGAGGUAGAUAACGUUUGUGCUUAGGCGCUGUGAAAACGCACACAGUUCAACUGCGAAACCUUGGAGAUGGCCAGAAUCCAGAUCUCCAAACUAGCUGUCUAGAGGAUGACAAGGUUACACAAAGAUUCUUACCGAACUGGUGGAAAUGAGCAGAAAAAUUAAACACCUAAUGAUCAAGUGCUGCUUCUGAACUUGCAGAGAUUUCAAGAGUUUGAUACAUGCUGGGAUUAGCUGAAAUAACUGCGUUGAAGGUGAUGAUCUUGGACUGCAGGUUAACCUCUGAGACAGAGUAUGCUUGAUGAAAUGAAGAUCAUCAAACUAUGUCUGUAAAACCACUAACUCUCUAUGAAGCUUCAUAGGACACGUAGACAUUCUUCUGACUUCAUUGGUUCAUGAAAUAGCAAGAUCAUGACGAACAUUCAAACCCAUGCAGCUAAGCGUAUUAUGCGUGGAGAGCACUCAAGAAGAGCCGGCUACCGUUAAAGCACAACAUGACUCAAGCUCAGGGACAGGAGAUGGAAGUUGCAGAGCCACAUUGUCCAGGCAAUCAGUGCUGUCCACUUUAUAUCUUCCUUCUCAGACCCAAUAAAUCCUUACUUAUGUUUCUUCUUACGGUUCUUAGUAUAAGCAGCAAAUCUACAGGACCUAACUAAUGUAAGGGAUCUUUCCAGCAUCCAUGUUGGUAGAGGCCUGGGAGAGUUCAAAGGUGGCUUUAAAGCUAUGUUUACUUUCUUUUAAGAGACAAGAAUAAGGAACGUUGCUGUCUGUUUCCUACACUUAAUUAUUGGUAUGAUCUUUCUUCUCAAAUAUAAGACAUAUAAGGUUUAGUCUUGUAUAUAAUUUCAUUUUGUAUGUAUAUAGGGUAAGAUGCAGGGUUAUGCUUGUGUCCAAUUACUUUCAAAUUAAGUAGAUGCCACGUCUCAAUAUUUCUGUGCAUUGCUGUGAAUUUUUUAAAACAGAAUACUACUGCCAAAAAGUAGGCUGAGCCUUUCUCACAGAUGUAUCUUGGAAGUCCAAGAAAUCCGAAGGACAGCUGCUCCCUCACCACAGCCUGUGGGUCUAUAGCAGGACAAAAGAGAAAAGAGACUUCUCCACUUCUUCCCAUUGCCACUCUAUGGAUUUCUUACCUUCAAAUAAGACAUUGUUGCCUCACCUAGUAAUUUUCUGGAAGUAAGUCUCAAAUGCAAUUUGGGAAGUGAGUUCACAACAGUGCUGUGUCUGCCUUGUUGCGCUCCAGAUUAACUCUUAAUUCUAUUCCUGAGGGUGCCGGUGGAGCGUGUGUUCUGAAUAAACAUGACAACGCAAAAUUAAUCCCAUUUCUAUGGCCUUAUUCAGUUUUUACAAUUUAAUAUUCUGCAAUGACAGAUGUACUGUCACCUGGAGUAUGUGCUCUAUUUGAAAAAAUGCUGGUGCAAAGUGUCCUGUGGGGAGUGAUAAUAAGACUUGUAGCCUUUACGUCAUCUAUUUCUUAACUCAGAGUUGUGGUUUUGCUGUGCAGUCGGUAUAAUUCUUUUUUAUGUGGAAAUUAGAGGGGGCUGUGUGAAUGUUGUAGUCAAUGAUCCUUAUUAAGCUAGUAGAUUAACCUGGAAGUGAAUAAGAGUAUAAAAUAAUUGCAGAAGUAAAAAUUUACAGAAAGGAACAUUUGAUGUUGCGUUCAGUCACUUUUUCCAGACCUAGCAAACUAUUUUCGUUUCAAACGUUCAGACAUACCUUUCAAGUAGGUGCUAUAAUUUAGGAUUCUUUCGGCAGGUUUUGCCAUUCUAGUUAGGCAGUUUCUCCUAAGUGCUAACCUUGUGGCAGUUUCCAAUACGUCAGAGAUUACUGAAAAACAGACGUUUUGAAAAUUAUGUCUGUUAUAUAGGUAACUAUAUAGAUGUGGCUAUAUAGAUAACUCAUAUAGAUAUAGAGUCUUAAAAUAGCUACAUUUACGAAUUUCUAACUUAAUGGCUCUUUGAGGUUUUAAUUCUCUUAUGCUGCUUCAUAGGCAGGUACAGCUUGCCCAGCCUUCCAUUGAGUGUGCACAGGCUGAGAUCUGUGUAAAAUCAAGCUGGAAAAAAAAAUGUAAUUUAUUACAAGUAGGCUUUAUUCCCUAGAACAUUUACGGCAAAAGUUUAGCAUGUUAAGGAAAAUUAGCAUAAUGUCUUUCUGCUAGAUCUGUUAAAGGAUGGUAGUAAAAUGUCUUCCUGCCAGUGUCAUUUCACAGCUUGCAUUUGCUAGAAAAUACUGUUUUAUUAGCACAUGUUGCCUCAGUCUGAGAGACUGUCACAAUGUUAAGCACCUGUCCACUGCCAGUUUGACUUAAAUUACUUUGUUGUGAUUCAUUCGAAUGUGAGAGCUACUUGCCUUGCUCUUUUUGUGUGGAGAAGUGAACAAAUAUAUGUUUUCUUCUUUCCUCAUAAGUAGCUCCCAAUGCCAUGCACAGUUUACUAGCUUGUGUUAUGGUUGCUCAUCUGUUGCUAUUUAGCAAUCCAGGGGACAGGGCACUACAAGAGCAACCAAGUGACUUGGUUUCUGUUCCUAUUAGCCACCACGGGACAGAAAUAACAGCUGGCAGCAUUUCUUACAAUUUUGUUUAACCGCUCUCGUUCGGCUAGCUUUUGAAACUUUUCUCAAAAGCAAUGACGGCAUCAGCGUCCUCAGCAUAUUCUGCCUACUCUAAGUCUUGUUGCUGCUUCCAAUAGAGAUGAUAAUUCUUCUUUGCCAUCAUCACACAGGGGUGUGCUUUUGCAGGGUGAAGUGGCUGCAAUAAUACCUCUAUUCAUUGUUGCGAAUAGCAAAACCUUUAUGUAGGUUCUGAGGCAUGGCUGGAAAUGUGAGCAAGAGGCAUCUUGUUUUAUUUACAGCGACGUGCAGACAGCAGGCAGGCAGCCAACACGUUUAUUUCUGUUCAUAUUUAUUACUGCCCGCUAUAGCGCUGCCGCUGCUUGGCAUUUUGUACAGCGCAGGUUCUGGGUACAGCGAGCGAAGUCAUUAAUAUUACGGGAGGACAUUUCGUUGAUGACUUUUAUUAUUUAAAGGCUCUGUGGGAAGCACUAAAGGUUAAGAUGAUCAAAUUCGCUCUCUUCUGCCCUUACAUCUUCCCCGUACCCAAGUCUCCUUCAGCAAGACUGUGUCAGUAAGUUGCUAAAGGCGCUACCUUGUCUUUGCUGUCUUCUGAACUCUUUCUCUUUCCCACUGCAAGUAGCAAGUUACAGCCCCCCACCCCUGCAUUGAUCUGUCUUUUGUUUAAAGAGCUUUUGUCCGCAUCUUGUGAUGAUGCUAAAACAAAUAGAAAGGAGACUUGCCUAAUAACAUAUGGCCCCUGGUGCCAAGGCACGUUGUCCUAGGUGGUUGAUGGUACAACCGCUGCCCUUUCCCCUGCUGCUCUGAGUGCUGUUAAGCUGCCAGCCGACAGAAUUAAUAAUGUCCUCUGCUCUCCAUGCUCUCUGCUUCCACUGGUUAAAUGCUGUCUCCUCAGGAAUCGAGAAGGAGAAGAAGAAGAAGAAAAAAAAGAGUUUAAUUAAUUUUUAAGUGAAUUUCUCUUCACAUUGUUAGAUGACUCACAUCGAUGCUGAUGGUUAUUUUUAAAUGCUGUGUUCUUGCGCUUCGCUUAGUAACUGCAGAGCAGUCCAUCUGAUCCCUUUAAGUGUGACUUUUCCACUAAGAGCAUUUCCCACAGCCUAAAAAUGUCUGUCGUUCAGCUAUUUCCACGUAUUAUUUGUGCUGUUCUGCUUUUCUCAUGGCUUUUAAUCAACGUGUCCUUAAGUAAAGGACAGUAUUUACAUCCUGCAUGGUAAUUGAAACGUAGACUUUAAAAGCUGAAAUAGAUAUUCUGUUAGGGUACACGCAGGAGCAGGUGCACCCUCAGUGAGGACAGGGUGGGUUGAGCCCACCUUCUCGGUAUGGGACGCGUGGCGGGAGGGAGACGUGCUCUGCGGAGCUCAGCUUGGCAGCAAGGGAGCUCAAAUCUGGAGCUCAUCAGCACCAGACCUCCCCUCGAACAUCUCCGAGGGGACAGCAGGACUGACUUCGUAGCCCCCAAACCAUCCACGGUCGUGAAGAAAGGUGCCAGCCUUUGUCCGCUGCGCUCCUGCCGUGGUACUGGCGCCAACAGGGUCCCAGGGAAACGUAAAUGAUACCAGGGCCUUUGUAGGGCUGAAAGAGUUAAGAACUAAUGGAGGAGCUAAAGUGUUUUUAGCUCCCUGCUUUCCUGUAAAUCUAUGCCAGGCUGCACAUACAAGACUGAAAGGGCUGUAGCUUCUGUUCGGGGAAAAAAAUACAUAACUCGUAAGAUUUCCCACAAAAAGCCAUGGACCUUUUCCCUCUGUUUCUUCUUGUCUCUGAACACCCUUUUUUUCCCAUGAAGUGCAUACAGCUGGAAUGGGAUUUUUCAGAUGUGGUAAGAAUUGUUCUAAAUCUGUUCCCAUCAAAGCUAGUGUAGAAAAACAACUUCUCCUGACAGUGCCAAGAAUUUAGGCCAAUACUGAGAAUUGUGAAAGUCUUUAUCUUUGGCCUAGCUUGGUGUUUGCUUUUGUUUAUGUCUUAGUGGGGUAUAUAAUAACAUCUGUUUGUUGUUUUCCUACUGGAAAAUAAAUUCAAAGAGAAGCAAUAUUCUUGCCAUCUUUUUUAUUAUUGUUUUUACCAUUAAAUGUUGAUUUGUGCACUGUUUUGAUACACCACACUUUUUUCCAUUUUUGCCUCACGUCAGGUAGUUGCCUUAUAUAGAAUACACCCUUGCCCAGUCUUCUCUCACUGUUUGUUAAAACAAUAUAUAAUACCUCUAUAUUGUGGAUCUCUCAGGACAAUGCUCACUCAUUCUUCACACAUUAUUUUCAAAGAAUUGGUUAUUUACAGUGUAACCCAGGAGGGUAAUGGUAAUCCUGACUAUUUACCAUCCUGCUGUCCUAGUACCUUAAUAAAGAUGAGUAGUAUUUAACUGCCAGGCAUCAGAGAUCUCUUUAUUUUAAUUAGCAAGGGUGCUUUUCCUAUCAUUUUCCUGGGAACAAAAUAUAUCCUAGAAGAUUCCUUACUCAGCUCGCCUAGCUGUUGAUUUGGAGUGAAUUAAAGGAAACAUACUGUGAAAGGUGACUAGCUGGGGAAAAAAAUAAAGUAUAACAUUAAACAAUAUAAAUGUUCCAGCCUUUUGCUCCAUCAAACCUUAGGGCAAUGUCUUUUCAAUGUCAUGCUUUAGUAAAAGUCUUUUUAGCCCAUGCAUGUCUUUCUAAACAAGACAGACAAAAGCUUUUAUUUUAAAAGCAAACAGCUAAGUGAUUUGCUGUACACUUGCCAUGAAUAGUAACGAGUAGAUUUGUGGUGUGUUCCUCUUUUUAAUUAGCACAUUGCUAUAACCUGACUGCUGCUGUUGCUGUAUGGAUGAGCACUGUCUUAUUACCAUGUGUCUAGAGGAUACCACUUGGAGCAGUUCAUGAAACAAGUUAGAAAAAAAAAUACCAUAGAGUAUUCUUGGGAUUGGCUUAAAAUACUUUUACAUUACACUUGCUUUUUUUCUGGACAGAAUUGGCUGUUUAAGCUGAAAGUAAACCCAAUUGUAGGUAUUGUGUUGUCUAAAAAUAACCCUAAAAGAGAUUUUUCAUGAGCUUAGUUGGGAAAGGGUUAUCUUCCAGAACUAGAAUACAAGGUGUAUACGUUGUUUUACAAACAAAAGCAUUGCUAGGCUCAGUUCUCUUAUUACAAGCCAUUUCCAUACACCUUACAUGUAAUGGCAUUGUAAAGUUUCAUAAUUGAAUAAGAUGGAAAGGAGAAAUUUAAAACAAAUCACCUUUUUGGUAAAUUUAUCUGAUCUACUGUUUGAAAUGCUUCUCAAAAUUCUCCCGGCUGUUCCAGGCAGAGCAGAAUUUUAAAGUAGUAAUGUUAAGGUAGAAAAAUACUAGGACUGCUGUUGAAUGAUAGGGAGAAUGGAGACUGACCAGAAACGCUGUCACAAGUUUCAGGUGAUGAAAGAAGAAAAGAAAAGGGUAGGCACAUAGAAACCCAUAGUCCAUGCUCUCAGCUGCACUUUUAAUGGGGACUUGUGGCGAUUCAGAAAAACGUGCUAAGAUACAUACCACACCAAUAUAUACCAUACCUGUUAAUUAACAAAUCAUAAAAAGAUAUCAAAGAAUAAAAUAGCAUGGCCAAAUCUACUGUCAGCUUCUUCUCUUGCUGCAGCUAGCAGAGAUAUCCCGUUUGGAGACUUAACGCAAAUUUGCAUCUCAUGCUGGCUUCACCGCCGGAGGAUGUUCAAGGUUUUCCUAUGUUAGGAUUUUGCUAAUUCAAAGUGUGUGGAAGUGAAAAGAAUUGAUACACUUCUCUGUUCUACAGAGUGUAAUUGAGUAUAAAUAUGCUAUGGCUUUUUAGACUUCACAUCAUUUCGGAAUGUGGUAAACUCCUUUGUAUUUGUACAAUACAGUUGUGUGUGUGUAAGACAUAUGGAUUUCUUUUAAAGGCGACUUGUAAUUCUGCCUGCUGCUUUUUGAAGGACUUGGAUUUUCAGAUGGUGCAAUUCUGAUCACUCACAGUGUGACACUCAGGUCACCAAGUCACAUGCUGCUUUUGGAGAUCUUGUUCAAAUCUUUUGGAGAUCUUGUUCAAGAUCUUUUGGAGAUCUUGUUCAAGUGUAUGGAGAGAAAUAAAGGAUGUUACUGUAUUAGCUAAGGUCUAAUCGUUACCCAUGGUUGCCCUGAUUGAAUUUGCAGACCGUGAGCAAUGAAAUGGUUCUAAAUCCUUUUAUAUUGAAACACAUUAUUUAUAUAUGGCAUGUAUGUUGCAAAAAAUUUAACUAUCUUAAGGCUUUAAAACCCUUUUUUUGUCCUAUGGGAUUUUGUAACCCAUUGCCUGGAAAAUCAAGAGUCUAAAAAUGCAGGGCUGAGAACAGGAAAAUUAUUAAA